AGAGGUAGCACCAAGCUUACCCCGGCUCACACUAUCACAGUAAUGGCGGUUUCUUCCUCUCUCUCAUCCUCCUUAUCCUACCACAAGAUACCAACUGCUACAUCUCUAAUGAAAACUGCUUUUCCUAACUAUUCAUCCAUUUUAACUACUGAACUACCUUUCUAACAGUCAUCUAUCCCUGUUUAUACUAUAAACUAAGUAUCUACAAAUCAGCAAAUAACUACUUAUUCUACAAACCCCGAACAAUCCAAACUGUUAAUCUUCAAUACCGCUUUGUACUUACGAUCUUGUAUCUACUGACUGUCUUGUUAGAUUAACCCAAUAAAUUUCAUUCACUCCGCAUACUCAAUCCUAUAGACACCCUUUUAAUCCUUCAAUCACAGACAUAACUCGAUUUCACAAAACAGUCAAGAGUAUUCAGACCCACUUCAUUAAAAAUCUCGAUUCACUAUUACACUACUGACUUCAGCAGCGAUUGCCUCAGUCUUUCCAAAACUCUACGAAGAAGAAAAAUCCAAAUUCUAUGUCUUUCCUUCCCCGAUCCGAAG
rnacentral:lncRNA from 1 species